rnacentral:rRNA from 2 species
AGAGCGAAUGGUGGAUGCCUUGGUUGGUAGAGGCGAUGAAAGACGUGCUAGACUGCGAUAAGUCUCGGGGAGUUGUCAAGGAGCUUUGAUCCGGGAAUUUCUGAAUGGGGAAACCCAGUAUAUAGUGAUAUAUACUACCUAUAUGGAGCAAACGUGGGGAAUUGAAACAUCUUAGUACCCACAGGAAAAGAAAUCAAAUGAGAUUACGAAAGUAGCGGCGAGCGAAAUCGUAAAAGGGCAAACCACUAGUUUACUAGUGGGGUUGUAGGACUGUAACAUAGACUAAAAAGAGUUAAUAGAAUAAUCUGGAAAGUUUAAGCAUAGAGGGUGAUACUCCCGUAUAUGAAAACUCUUUUUUACUUAACAGUAUCCUGAGUAGGGCGAGGCACGUGAAACCUUGUCUGAAUCUGGGAAGACCACUUUCCAACCCUAAAUACUACUACCAAACCGAUAGUGAACAAGUACCGUGAGGGAAAGGUGAAAAGAACGGGGGUGACCCGAGUGAAAUAGAACCUGAAACCAUUUGCUUACAAUCAUUCAGAGCACGAUUCUUUAUGACGUGUGAUGGACUGCCUUUUGCAUAAUGAGCCUGCGAGUUGUGAUAUCUGGCAAGGUUAAGGAAAUCCGGAGCCGUAGCGAAAGCAAGUCUUAAUAGGGCGUUUAGUCAGAUAUUGCAGACCCGAAACGAAGUGAUCUAUCCAUGAGCAGGUUGAAACCGGUGUAAGAGCCGGCGGAGGACCGAACCCGCUGACGUUGAAAAGUCUUGGGAUGACUUGUGGAUAGGGGUGAAAGGCCAAUCAAACUUCGUGAUAGCUGGUUCUCUCCGAAAUAUAUUUAGGUAUAGCGUUAUGUAGUAAUUAGAGGGGGUAGAGCACUGAAUGGGCUAGGGCAUACACCAAUGUACCAAACCCUAUCAAACUCCGAAUACCUUUAAUGUAAUCAUAGCAGUCAGGCGGCGAGUGAUAAAAUCCGUCGUCAAGAGGGGAACAACCCAGACUACCGACUAAGGUCCCAAAAUCUUAUUUAAGUGGAAAACGAUGUGAAGUUACUUAAACAACCAGGAGGUUGGCUUAGAAGCAGCCAUCCUUUAAAGAUAGCGUAAUAGCUCACUGGUCUAGUGAUUUUGCGCGGAAAAUAUAACGGGGCUAAAAUAAGUACCGAAGUCGUAGACUUAGUUUUACUAAGUGGUAGGAGAGCGUUGUAUUUAGCGUUGAAGAUGUACCGGUAAGGAGCGUUGGAGCAAAUACAAGUGAGCAUGCAGGCAUGAGUAGCGUUAAAUCAGGUGAGAAUCCUGAUCGCCGAAAACCCAAGGUUUCCUACGCGAUGCUCGUCAUCGUAGGGUUAGUCGGGUCCUAAGCAAAGUCCGAAAGGGGUAUGCGAUGGAAAAUUGGUUAAUAUUCCAAUACCAAUUAUUAUGUGCGAUGGAAGGACGCUUAAAGUUAGUGGAGCUAACUGAUGGAAUAGUUAGUCUAAGGUCGUAGGUUGAGUUAUAGGCAAAUCCGUAACUCUUUAUCCGAAAGCUUAAAGGCUUACAAAGCUCUUCGGAGUAGCGUAAGAAUCCAUGAUACUAUAGAGCCAAGAAAAGUUUCUAAGUUUAGUAAUAAUUGCCCGUACCGUAAACCGACACAGGUGGGUGGGAUGAGUAUUCUAAGGCGCGUGGAAGAACUCUCUUUAAGGAACUCUGCAAAAUAGCACCGUAUCUUCGGUAUAAGGUGUGCCUACCAGGGUGCAAGCCCUAGAGGUUACAACAAAGAGUCCCUCCCGACUGUUUACCAAAAACACAGCACUCUGCUAACACGUAAGUGGAUGUAUAGGGUGUGACGCCUGCCCGGUGCUCGAAGGUUAAUUGAUGGAGUUAGCAUUAGCAAAGCUCUUGAUCGAAGCCCGAGUAAACGGCGGCCGUAACUAUAACGGUCCUAAGGUAGCGAAAUUCCUUGUCGGUUAAAUACCGACCUGCAUGAAUGGCGUAACGAGAUGGGAGCUGUCUCAAAGAGGGAUCCAGUGAAAUUGUAGUGGAGGUGAAAAUUCCUCCUACCCGCGGCAAGACGGAAAGACCCCGUGGACCUUUACUAUAGCUUGACACUGCUACUUGGAUAAAGAUGUGCAGGAUAGGUGGGAGAUUAUGAUCUAUAGAUGCUAGUCUAUAAGGAGUCAUCCUUGAGAUACCACUCUUCUUUAUUCGGGUAGCUAACUAGCCUAAGUUAUCCUUAGGUAGGACAAUGUCUGGUGGGUAGUUUGACUGGGGCGGUCGCCUCCCAAAUAAUAACGGAGGCUUACAAAGGUUGGUUCAAAACGGUUGGAAAUCGUUUGUAGAGUAUAAAGGCAAAAACCAGCUUAACUGCGACACCGACAAGUGGAGCAGAGACGAAAGUCGGUCUUAGUGAUCCGGUGGUUCUGUGUGGAAGGGCCAUCGCUCAAAGGAUAAAAGGUACCCCGGGGAUAACAGGCUGAUCUCCCCCAAGAGCUCACAUCGACGGGGAGGUUUGGCACCUCGAUGUCGGCUCAUCGCAUCCUGGGGCUGGAGCAGGUCCCAAGGGUAUGGCUGUUCGCCAUUUAAAGCGGUACGCGAGCUGGGUUCAGAACGUCGUGAGACAGUUCGGUCCCUAUCUGCCGUGGGCGUAAGAAGAUUGAGGAGAGUUGACCCUAGUACGAGAGGACCGGGUUGAACCAACCACUGGUGUAUAAGUUGUCCUGCCAAGGGCACCGCUUAGUAGCUAAGUUGGGAUGUGAUAAGAGCUGAAAGCAUCUAAGCUCGAAGCCAACUCCAAGAUUAAUCUUCUUUUAAGAGCUCUUAUAGACUAUAAGUUUGAUAGGCUGGGUGUGUAAUUGAUGUAAGUCAUUUAGCUGACCAGUACUAAUAGCUCGUUUGCUUAUCUA